UUCAGCGUCACGGUGUUCCUUGGUCUAUGAAGGGUAUUAAGAGCAACUGUAACUUUGAUUCUUUUCAAGGCACCUCAGAAAAUAAUGGGGUGAUAAUAGACACUGAGUUGAAAGACUCAGCUGUAGUUGUAGAAAGUCUAAGUAAUUUGCAGGUUGAUGAACUGAGACCUAAUUUUGACAUUUAUCUUCCCAACAGCAAGUUUAGAAAGACUUCACCUGGUGAUCCAGCUUUUCUGCUCUGCUUGAUUAGGGGGAGUCCACCAUCCAAGGCAAAAUUUGAAGCCCUUGAGAGACAAUGUGGCCAGGCACCAUUGAAAUUUUGUCAUGUAGAUCAAGGACGUGUCAGCUUUUUUUCCUUUAAGAGGGUAGAUCUCCCUGUGCUUCCCUGACUUCUGUAGUGGAUGCAGGAACAGAGCUUCAGCUG
rnacentral:misc_RNA from 1 species